rnacentral:lncRNA from 1 species
UGAUGAACACAAUAAUUAGAAUUCGUUUCAUAAACACUAUAAUCACAAUUUACAUGUUUACAAGGGGCAUACCCCAGGUAAUUAAAAAAAACGAUGAUACAAUAGCUUAAUAGCUCAAGCAGUAAUGCAGUAUGUUGAUCUUCAGUUUGCAGUUUGUAGUAUGCAGUAUGCAGUUUGCAGUUUUCAAUAUGCAGUUUGCAGUAUAUUCCAGCCACCUUCAAGAAUUUCUUCAGUUUGCAGUAUGUUGAUCUCAGUUACAAUUCCUUAUUUGGGUUCAUCUCUGUUAUAGGGCUUGCUUCCCUUGAUCUGCAUUAAAAUCAACUAUUUGAGUCUCUUUCAAGUAUCUUAAGUAACAACACAAAUAGAUUUAUGCAGGCCAUCAACUUGUCAAACAAAAAAAAAUCAAGUAGUAUUCCUGAAUUCAUUGAAGGCUCAAGUAUCUUAAGUAACCACAUAUGUUGUUGGUGGUGAAAUGCAGUUCACAUCAAGGAACAAAGAAGAUGUUAAAUUAAAUAUGUUGCCAUUUAUACUCAAAAUCUCAAAACAGAAAUCAGAAAUCUCCCAAAAAAAAAAACUAAUGAAAUGAUAUAGACCUAAUUGUUGUUGAUAUAUACUCACAGAACAAGCAUACACACAUAAAAACCAAAAGUAAUUGAGAAGGCCCCAUCUAGAAAACUAAGCUCAUAAAGUUACAGAUAUGUUUCUACACAGUUCUUUAAUCAAAAACUGGUGAAAGAUCAGCCCUAUUGAAUUAAUUCCAGCUAAAGAACCAAAAUAAGGCCAUAAACACAUAAAACCCAAUUCACUUAUCAAUAAUUUAAUACAAAAUUUUUCAAACCUUCUCUAUCAGCAAUGCAUUCCUUAAUAAAUAUAUGAACAAACCCCCAAACUCUCUCUCAAACCCAUAAAUUCUUCACAGUUUCUUGAAGUCAUGAAUCAAUUCAACAAGAAAAUCAAACCAACCCCUAAUGUAUAUAUGAUUAAACACGCAUAAAAAUAAAACUACAAAAUAAUAAUAACAAAUUUCUAUCUAAUAAAAUUACUAUACUCAAAUAACAUCACUGAACACACAUAAUUAUAUACAUAAAGGAGAUAUAGAGUUUACCCGAACAAGCGGAGUCGAACGGAACUGAUUUAACUGGUGUUGAAUUGAGUGGGUCAGCUUUUCUCUUGCAAGCUCGAGGCAUGGUGAGAUAGGUUUGAGAUUAAAAUUGAGAGAAUGGUGUUUGGAUUUCAGGUCUGUAUUUGUAAA